UCUGUAGCGUGGCCAGCGCCUUCUUAUACAGUGCCAUUCAAUUUUCAUGUCCCUUCAGUGCUCAGUCUGGUAUUUCUCCCAUUUGUUGAGUCAGUCAGCAUAGAUACUCAGCACUAACAUAUAUCAGUGUGAGCAGCACUGAAAAAAACUGUAAAAAAACGGGUAAAUGUACUGUAGAAUUUGAAGGAAUUUCUCCGUUUUUUAGUUUUACAGGUAUUUGUACCGUAUUUUCCAUUUUACGCAUUGCAUCAUGGGAACAAGAACCUUCGCGAAGCGCAAAAACUGGUCAGACGACAUUUCAAGCUCGCUAACCGGACCCUGGAACAUAUAUCUUUUGGACUUCGGUUGGAUUAAGAGACGGAGUUACCUUUCUGCCACUCCCUGCUGCAUCCAGGCACUCCUGAACUUUUCCUGGAAAGCAACUAGGCAUCUUUAAAAUAGAGAUUUUCUGGGCUCAAAUCCUGAACGAGGUCGACUCACACAAUGCAGACGAAGGUGAAGAAGCAGCUUUGCAUUCCACCAAAAUGGUUCAAGUCCCUUAAUGAACUGAAUGACUGGGAAACCAUGGAAAAUUUGAGCCUUUUGAAGUUUAAACGUGAUUGAUCAUCUCAUCAAACCUGGUGCACCAAGAACCUUUGCGAAGCACAAGAACUGGUCUCAGAACAUUUCAAGCUUUUGGUAACUGGACCUAAGAGUUGGAUUAAUCUUUUUUUCCAGAACAUAAACAUAAAAUGGACUGUUUUGUUUUAUGUUCACAGCGACUAGAGGUAAUGAGAGCACACACUCAUGAAUCCAGUGUCUUCCACUGUCGUUGGCAUUAGGUUGUGUUUAUGUAGCGUUUGAUUUUUAACAAAAUAUGUAUACCUGUAUUUCAUUUAUUUUUUGGCAUUUAUUUUGAAGUAUGUUGGUCCUGUUUACAACAAUGAUUUUCAUGUUCCAAAGCAAUUUUUUGUAUGUUCCAUCUUAUAGUAAUUAACAAAACUGUUUGACUACAAAGACUAGAGUCAAGAUUGCUUUAUAUUUAAUUUAUACGUUGAAAUUUGUAUAGUAAAAUGCAAUAAAUUAGUUGUGAUGUGCAGAAAAUAAACAUUAGCAAGCUCAAGAAUAUGUUUAACUCUUAAUAUAUAAUAGCAAAGGUUAGUUAUAAAGACUAGAUGAUGUCAAUUUAUGGUCUUAAAUUGCAAAAUAAAGUCUGCAAAUUGA